CGAACAGCGCCUUUCAGUAUAACUAUGUCAGGCAGUAUAGUCUCAGUACAAUUAUGGAUAAAGUUAGUAAAUAGACAUUUAAAAACAUAUUAAUUUAUGCUUAACCACAUCAAGUGGAGAAUUCAGUGUGUGUAUUAAAAUAUAUUUUUAGGUUAACCAAGUGGCCCAGGACUGAACUUACCUGUUGCAUGGAGGAUCAUGGAGCCUACAAGAACAUGAAGAGAUCUUCGCAAGUUAUGGAAAAAGAAAAAUUGAAGUAUGAUGGUGAAAUAUGAGGAAACAGUUUGGCUGUUAAUCAGCAUAAGGAUGCUCCAUCUUGCUUGGAAAACAAAGGAAUGUUUAUUGCUCAGCUGGGUGAAAUUAUUAAUGUACCUCUCAGGCUGCAUUUUCAAAGGUGAACAUUGGCAGAAGAGAAAUGCAACACAUACGGUGCCGUUCCACUUGAUAAACCUGCAUUCUUGGGAGUCUCCUUCCCUGCUAGACUGUUCUUUAGAUUUAUGCAGUAGCCAUGUUUGUCAAAGUAUUUGGCACCGGUGA
rnacentral:lncRNA from 1 species